rnacentral:lncRNA from 1 species
UUAUCCGGCAGGGUUAGCUGUAUAUUUGUAGAGAUAUCUACCGAUUUGAAUGUCUUUUUGAUAUUAUCUAAUUUAAUUGAAAGGCUCUCGUGUGUUUCAGAAGUGCUGAUGUAGUAUGUUACGCCUCAAUUGAUAGCUUCUGCCAAGGUAGUUGUGAGUUGUAAGUUGUAUGACGGCAUGCUGAUUUAGUAUGUUACGCCUCAAUAGAUGGCUACGUUCUGCCAAGGUUGUUGAGAGUUGUAUGACGGCACUUAGCUGUUGUAAUCUUCUGAUUUUUACGUUUGAUUCUGGCUCUAUAGUUGGUAAGAAAAAUACUGUUAGUAUCUUAA